UCUCCGUUGGUGAACCAGCGGAGGGAUCAUUACUGGACUCGCAAGACUCCUUCACCCUGUGAACCUCACUACAAGCACGUUGCUUCGGCGGGUGUCCCGGCGGGGGUUUUCCCUCGCCGGGGCGCACAGCCCGCCGGCAGCCUACUAUACUCUGUCUCUUUGCGUUGGCAUCUCGAGAAAAAACAAACAAGUUAAAACUUUCAACAACGGAUCUCUUGGUUCUG
rnacentral:misc_RNA from 1 species